AGCACUGACCAAAAGGUUUCCAAAUCUCCAUAGCGUAUAUCCAUACUUGAUGCCAAGGCUCCCUGAGCACUGACCAAAAGGUUUCCAAAUCUCCAUAGCGUAUAUCCAUACUUGAUGCCAAGGCUCCCUGAGCACUGACCAAAAGGUUUCCAAAUCUCCAUAGCGUAUAUCCAUACUUGAUGCCAAGGCUCCCUGAGCACUGACCAAAAGGUUUCCAAAUCUCCAUAGUGUAUAUCCAUACUUGAUGCCAAGGCUCCCUGAGCACUGACCAAAAGGUUUCCAAAUCUCCAUAGUGUAUAUCCAUACUUGAUGCCAAGGCUCCCUGAGCACUGACCAAAAGGUUUCCAAAUCUCCAUAGUGUAUAUCCUUGAUGCCAAGGCUCCCUGAGCACUGACCAAAAGGUUUCCAAAUCUCCAUAGUGUAUAUCCAUACUUGAUGCCAAGGCUCCCUGAGCACUGACCAAAAGGUUUCCAAAUCUCCAUAGUGUAUAUCCAUACUUGAUGCCAAGGCUCCCUGAGCACUGACCAAAAGGUUUCCAAAUCUCCAUAGUGUAUAUCCAUACUUGAUGCCAAGGCUCCCUGAGCACUGACCAAAAGGUUUCCAAAUCUCCAUAGUGUAUAUCCAUACUUGAUGCCAAGGCUCCCUGAGCACUGACCAAAAGGUUUCCAAAUCUCCAUAGUGUAUAUCCAUACUUGAUGCCAAGGCUCCCUGAGCACUGACCAAAAGGUUUCCAAAUCUCCAUAGUGUAUAUCCAUACUUGAUGCCAAGGCUCCCUGAGCACUGACCAAAAGGUUUCCAAAUCUCCAUAGUGUAUAUCCAUACUUGAUGCCAAGGCUCCCUGAGCACUGACCAAAAGGUUUCCAAAUCUCCAUAGUGUAUAUCCAUACUUGAUGCCAAGGCUCCCUGAGCACUGACCAAAAGGUUUCCAAAUCUCCAUAGUGUAUAUCCAUACUUGAUGCCAAGGCUCCCUGAGCACUGAC